rnacentral:tRNA from 1 species
ACAUUGGUAGUUCAGUGGUAGAAUUCUCACCUUCCAUGUGGGAGACCCAGGUGGAGUCCCAGCCAGUGCA